rnacentral:rRNA from 1 species
AUUGAACGCUGGCGGCAGGCCUAACACAUGCAAGUCGAACGGUAACAGGAAGAAGCUUGCUUCUUUGCUGACGAGUGGCGGACGGGUGAGUAAUGUCUGGGAAACUGCCUGAUGGAGGGGGAUAAAUACUGGAAACGGUAGCUAAUACCGCAUAACGUCGCAAGACCAAAAAGGGGGACCUUCGGGCCUCUUGCCAUCGGAUGGGCCCAGAUGGGGUUAGCUAGUAGGUGGGGUAACGGCUCACCUAGGCGACGAUCCCUAGCUGGUCUGAGAGGAUGACCAGCCACACUGGAACUGAGACACGGUCCAGACUCCUACGGGAGGCAGCAGUGGGGAAUAUUGCACAAUGGGCGCAAGCCUGAUGCAGCCAUGCCGCGUGUAUGAAGAAGGCCUUCGGGUUGUAAAGUACUUUCAGCGGGGAGGAAGGGAGUAAAGUUAAUACCUUUGCUCAUUGACGUUACCCGCAGAAGAAGCACCGGCUAACUCCGUG